rnacentral:rRNA from 1 species
GACGAACGCUGGCGGCGUGCUUAACACAUGCAAGUCGAACGGUGAAGCCCUUCGGGGUGGCUCAGUGGCGAACGGGUGAGUAACACGUGAGCAACCUGCCCCUGGCUCUGGGACACCCACUGGAACCGGUGGCUAAUACCGCAUACGACACGGCGCGGCAUCGAGUGUGGGUGGUACGUUUUUCGGCUGGGGAAGGGCUCGCGGCCUAUCAGCUUGUAGGUGAGGUGAUGGCUCACCAAGGCGACGACGGGUAGCCGGCCUGAGAGGGCGACCGGCCACACUGGGACUGAGACACGGCCCAGACUCCUACGGGAGGCAGCAGUGGGGAAUAGUGCACAAUGGGCGGAAGCCUGAUGCAGCGACGCCGCGUGAGGGAUGACGGCCUUCGGGUUGUAACCCUCUUUCAGCUCCGAAGAAGCGAAAGUGACGGUAGGAGCAGAAGAAGCACCGGCUAACUACGUG